GCCAGACUCCUACGGGAGGCAGCAGUGGGGUAUCUUCCGCAAUGGGCGAAAGCCUGACGGAGCAACGCCGCGUGAUCGAAUGAAGGCCUUCGGGUUGUAAAGAUCUGUUGACAGGGACGAAUAAGCAAUGCGAAUAGUUUUGUGUAUGACGGUACCUGUUUAGAAAGCUCCGGCUAACUACGUGCCAGCAGCCGCGGUAAUACAUAGGGAGCAAGCGUUGUCCGGAAUUACUGGGCGUAAAGGGCGCGUAGGUGGGCGCUUAAGUCAGGUGUGAAAACUCCGGGCUCAACCUGGAGACUGCACUUGAAACUGGGUGUCUUGAGGGCAGGAGAGGAAAGUGGAAUUCCUAGUGUAGCGGUGAAAUGCGUAGAUAUUAGGAGGAAUACUCAUUGCGAAGGCGACCUGCUAGAACAUAACUGACGCUGAUGCGCGAAAGCGUGGGGAGCAAACAGGAUUAGAUACCCCUGUA
rnacentral:rRNA from 1 species